UACGUAGGGAGCAAGCGUUGUCCGGAAUCAUUGGGCGUAAGGCGCGCGUAGGCGGCCUCAUAAGUCCGUUGUGAAAGUCAAAGGCUCAACCUUUGAAAGCCGAUGGAUACUGCGAGGCUAGAGUCCGGAAGAGGCGAGUGGAAUUCCCGGUGUAGCGGUGAAAUGCGCAGAUAUCAGGAGGAACACCAAUGGCGAAGGCAGCUCGCUGGGACGGUACUGACGCUGAGACGCGAAAGCGUGGGGAGCAAACAGG
rnacentral:rRNA from 1 species